rnacentral:rRNA from 1 species
GAUGAACGCUGGCGGCGUGCCUAAUACAUGCAAGUCGAGCGAACGGGCGAGAAGCUUGCUUCUCUGAUGUUAGCGGCGGAGGGGUGAGUAACACGUGGAUAACCCACCUGUAAGACUGGGAUAACUUCGGGAAACCGGAGCUAAUACCGGAUGAGAUUUUGAACCGCAGGGUGCAAAAGUGAAAGACGGUCGUGCGGUCACGUAUAGAUGGAUCCGCGCUGGAUUAGGUAGUUGGUAAGGUAACGGGUUAUCAAGGGAACUAUGCAUGGCCGAACGCAGAGAGUGAUCGCCCACACUGGAGCGGAGACACGCACCAGACGCCUACGAGAGGCAGCAGUAGGGAAUCUUCCGCAAUGGGCGAAAGCCUGACGCAGCAACCCCGCGUGAGUGAUGAAGGUCUUCGGAUCGUAAAACUCUGUUAUUAGGGAAGAACAGAUGUGGAAGUAACUGUGCAGAUCUUGACGGUACCUAAUCAGAAAGCCACGGCUAACUACGUG